AUUGAACGCUGGCGGCAGGCCUAACACAUGCAAGUCGAGCGGAGCGGUGGACGGGUGAGUAAUGCCUAGGAAUCUGCCUGGUAGUGGGGGAUAACGUCAGGAAAGGGGCGCUAAUACCGCAUACUAUCAGAUGAGCCUAGGUCGGAUUAGCUAGUUGGUGGGGUAAAGGCCUACCAAGGCGACGAUCCGUAACUGGUCUGAGAGGAUGAUCAGUCAAACUGGAAAUGAGACACGGUCCAGACUCCUACGGGAGGCACCAGUGGGGAAUAUUGGUCAAUGGCCGAAGACCUGAUCCAGCCAUGCCGCGUCUGUGAAGCAGGUAUUCGGUUUGUAAAGCACUUUAGGUUGGGAGACGUUACCUUCUGAAUAUGCCCCGGCUAACUUCGUGCCAGCAGCCGCGGUAAUAC
rnacentral:rRNA from 1 species